GACGAACGCUGGCGGCGCGCCUAACACAUGCAAGUCGAACGGAGCUGAGAGAAGCUUGCUUUUCUUAGCUUAGUGGCGAACGGGUGAGUAACGCGUGAGUAACCUGCCCUGGAGUGGGGGACAACAGUUGGAAACGACUGCUAAUACCGCAUAAGCCCACGAUCCGGCAUCGGAUUGAGGGAAAAGGAUUUAUUCGCUUCAGGAUGGACUCGCGUCCAAUUAGCUAGUUGGUGAGGUAACGGCCCACCAAGGCGACGAUUGGUAGCCGGACUGAGAGGUUGAACGGCCACAUUGGGACUGAGACACGGCCCAGACUCCUACGGGAGGCAGCAGUGGGGGAUAUUGCACAAUGAGGGAAACCCUGAUGCAGCGACGCCGCGUGGAGGAAGAAGGUUUUCGGAUUGUAAACUCCUGUCGUUAGGGACGAUAAUGACGGUACCUAACAAGAAAGCACCGGCUAACUACGUG
rnacentral:rRNA from 1 species